GAUGAAGAACGCAGCGAAAUGCGAUAAGUAGUGUGAAUUGCAGAAUUCAGUGAAUCAUCGAAUCUUUGAACGCACAUUGCGCCCCAUGGUAUUCCGUGGGGCAUGCCUGUUCGAGCGUCAUUUACCCCCUCAAGCUCCGCUUGGUGUUGGGCGUCUGUCCCGCUUCGCGCGCGGACUCGCCCCAAAGGUAUUGGCAGCGGUCGUGCCAGCUUCUCGCGCAGCACAUUGCGCUUCUCGAGGCACCGGUGGGCCCGCGUCCAUCAAGCUCUCCCCCCCAGUUUGACCUCGGAUCAGGUAGGGAUACCCGCUGAACUUAAGCAUAUCAAUAAGCGGAGGA
rnacentral:misc_RNA from 1 species